rnacentral:rRNA from 1 species
UGUAAGCGUAUACCAAAGUUGUUGCAGUUAAAACGCUCGUAGUCGGAAUUUGGCAGUUCCGGAUGUGUGCACGUCGUGUGCGCACUUCGCGGGGAUUGCUUUUGUGGUCUUGCGUAGGAUGAGGCACUUUUAUUAGUGAACGUCCUCACGCAACCACUUUUUACUGUGAGAAAAUCAGAGUGCUCAAAGCAGGCAUUUGCCGUGAAUGUAGUAGCAUGGAAUAAUAGAAUAGGACUUGGUUCUAUUUUGUUGGUUUGUUGGGACUGAGUAAUGAUUAAGAGGGACAGUUGGGGGCAUUUGUAUUUCGGUGCUAGAGGUGAAAUUCUUAGAUUACCGAAAGACAAACUGCUGCGAAAGCGUCUGCCAAGGAUGUUUUCAUUGA